CCAGUUUUCAUUUCAAAUCAAAGGCAAGCUCUUACACAGACUAAAGAUGUCGCAUCAUUUAAAGGAGGGUUAAAACUUUUCACUAUCUACACA